UCCCGGGCCCCAGCCUCACCACCAAGCCCCGUUUCCAUUUAAAAUACCCAGCGCGUAGAUGGGCCCUCCCCGGCUCGGGCGCUGGGAGGGGUCGGUCAGCAGGUUGGCUGCCUGAUGGAUUGUUAGACGUAUUCGCCUGGCUCAUCUGGGCUCCAAGUCACGGGACAAACGCACAUGCCACACCCUCCCGAGACACCUGUCCCCCCACCCGCAGGCCACCCGGCCCAGUUAGGACCUCAAGACAUGCUUACUAUCCAGCUUGAAAACGGAUCUUCUCUAAGAAAUUCCCGCUUGGAAUCAGUUCCAAAAGAAAACCCUAGUAAGCAGCUAGAGCCCAGAUCUGUGUCUGGAGGGUUGUCUGCAGCAGCAGAAACCCCCGGGGGCAACAAGGGCAGGGCCACAGAGCUGAAGGCACCCCUGACGGUUCACUUCGAAAUCCGCCACGCUGCGCAGCCACAAGGACUUGGCAGUCGCCACCAGCCAUGGAUGGAAGCUUGCUUUGAGUCGUUCGGGUUAAUAAAAUGAUUUCUCAUGGAA